rnacentral:rRNA from 1 species
AGAGUUUGAUCCUGGCUCAGAACGAACGCUGGCGGCGUGCCUAACACAUGCAAGUCCGACGUGAAAGGGGGAGCAAUCCCCCCGGUAGGGUGGCAAACGGGUGAGUAAGACAUGGGUGAUCUACCCGGGAGAUGGGGAUAUCCCUCCGAAAGGGGGGGCAAUACCGAAUAUCGUCCGGUCCCGCGAAGGGGGCCGGGGAAAGGGAGGCCUCUGGAACAUGCUUCCGCUCCUGGAUGAGCCCAUGGCCCAUCAGCUAGUUGGCAGGGUAACGGCCUACCAAGGCGACGACGGGUAGCUGGUCUGAGAGGACGACCAGCCACACUGGCACUGAGAUACGGGCCAGACUCCUACGGGAGGCAGCAGUGAGGAAUAUUGCGCAAUGGGGGCAACCCUGACGCAGCAACACCGCGUGUGGGAAGAAGGCCUUCGGGUUGUAAACCACUUUUACCCGGGACGAAAAGGGGCCUCAGAACACGGGGUUCCGAUGACGGUACCGGGAGAAUAAGCCACGGCUAACUNUGUGCCAGCAGCCGCGGUAAUUC